rnacentral:rRNA from 1 species
AUGGGAACGCGAAGAACCUUACCUACUCUUGACAUCCAGAGAACUUAGCAGAGAUGCUUUGGUGCCUUCGGGAACUCUGAGACAGGUGCUGCAUGGCUGUCGUCAGCUCGUGUUGUGAAAUGUUGGGUUAAGUCCCGCAACGAGCGCAACCCUUAUCCUUUGUUGCCAGCGAUUCGGUCGGGAACUCAAAGGAGACUGCCAGUGAUAAACUGGAGGAAGGUGGGGAUGACGUCAAGUCAUCAUGGCCCUUACGAGUAGGGCUACACACGUGCUACAACGGCGCAUACAAAGAGAAGCGACCUCGCGAGAGCAAGCGGACCUCAUAAAGUGCGUCGUAGUCCGGAUUGGAGUCUGCAACUCGACUCCAUGAAGUCGGAAUCGCUAGUAAUCGUAGAUCAGAAUGCUACGGUGAAUACGUUCCCGGGUCUUGUACACACCG